GCCCUCGUGGUGUAGCGGUAACACACUCGAGGCAUAUUCGAGAGGCUCAGGUUCGAGUCCCGGCGAGGGCA
rnacentral:tRNA from 1 species